CGAACGCUGGCGGCGCGCCUAACACAUGCAAGUCGAACGAGAGAUGAGGAGCUUGCUCUUCAAAUCGAGUGGCGAACGGGUGAGUAACGCGUGAGGAACCUGCCUCAAAGAGGGGGACAACAGUUGGAAACGACUGCUAAUACCGCAUAAGCCCACGGCUCGGCAUCGAGCAGAGGGAAAAGGAGUGAUCCGCUUUGAGAUGGCCUCGCGUCCGAUUAGCUAGUUGGUGAGGUAACGGCCCACCAAGGCAACGAUCGGUAGCCGGACUGAGAGGUUGAACGGCCACAUUGGGACUGAGACACGGCCCAGACUCCUACGGGAGGCAGCAGUGGGGAAUAUUGCACAAUGGGGGAAACCCUGAUGCAGCGACGCCGCGUGGAGGAAGAAGGUCUUCGGAUUGUAAACUCCUGUUGUUGAGGAAGAUAAUGACGGUACUCAACAAGGAAGUGACGGCUAACUACGUGCCAGCAGCCGCGGUAAAACGUAGGUCACAAGCGUUGUCCGGAAUUACUGGGUGUAAAGGGAGCGCAGGCGGGAGACAAGUUGGAAGUGAAAUCCAUGGGCUCAACCCAUGAACUGCUUUCAAAACUGUUUUUCUUGAGUAGUGCAGAGGUAGGCGGAAUUCCCGGUGUAGCGGUGGAAUGCGUAGAUAUCGGGAGGACACCAGUGGCGAAGCGGCCUACUGGGCACCAACUGA
rnacentral:rRNA from 1 species